rnacentral:rRNA from 1 species
GGCGCAUGGGGAGGAAACAAGGGGAAGGGGGGUCUAUAAUGCAAGUCGAGCGGACCGACGGGAGCUUGCUCCCUUAGGUCAGCGGCGGACGGGUGAGUAACACGUGGGUAACCUGCCUGUAAGACUGGGAUAACUCCGGGAAACCGGGGCUAAUACCGGAUGCUUGAUUGAACCGCAUGGUUCAAUCAUAAAAGGUGGCUUUUAGCUACCACUUGCAGAUGGACCCGCGGCGCAUUAGCUAGUUGGUGAGGUAACGGCUCACCAAGGCGACGAUGCGUAGCCGACCUGAGAGGGUGAUCGGCCACACUGGGACUGAGACACGGCCCAGACUCCUACGGGAGGCAGCAGUAGGGAAUCUUCCGCAAUGGACGAAAGUCUGACGGAGCAACGCCGCGUGAGUGAUGAAGGUUUUCGGAUCGUAAAACUCUGUUGUUAGGGAAGAACAAGUACCGUUCGAAUAGGGCGGCACCUUGACGGUACCUAACCAGAAAGCCACGGCUAACUACGUGCCAGCAGCCGCGGUAAUACGUAGGUGGCAAGCGUUGUCCGGAAUUAUUGGGCGUAAAGCGCGCGCAGGCGGUUUCUUAAGUCUGAUGUGAAAGCCCCCGGCUCAACCGGGGAGGGUCAUUGGAAACUGGGGAACUUGAGUGCAGAAGAGGAGAGUGGAAUUCCACGUGUAGCGGUGAAAUGCGUAGAGAUGUGGAGGAACACCAGUG